rnacentral:rRNA from 1 species
GGACUACUGGGGUAUCUAAUCCUGUUUGAUCCCCACACUUUCGUGCCUCAGCGUCAGUUACAGUCUAGUAAGCUGCCUUCGCUAUCGGUGUUCUUGACGAUAUCUAAGCAUUUCACCGCUACACCGUCAAUUCCGCCUACCUCGUCUGUACUCAAGUCCAACAGUAUCAAUGGCACCUCGACAGUUGAGCUGCCGUAUUUCACCACUGACUUAUUGAACCGCCUACGCACCCUUUAAACCCAAUAAAUCCGGACAACGCUUGCCACCUACGUAUUACCGCGGCUGCUGGCAC